rnacentral:rRNA from 1 species
ACCAGACUCCUACGGGAGGCAGCAGUGGGGGAUAUUGCACAAUGGGGGGAACCCUGAUGCAGCGACGCCGCGUGGGUGAAGAAGCGCCUCGGCGCGUAAAGCCCUGUCAGCAGGGAAGAAAAUGACGGUACCUGAAGAAGAAGCCCCGGCUAACUACGUGCCAGCAGCCGCGGUAAUACGUAGGGGGCAAGCGUUAUCCGGAUUUACUGGGUGUAAAGGGGGCGCAGACGGCGAUGCAAGCCAGGAGUGAAAGCCCGGGGCCCAACCCCGGGACUGCUCUUGGAACUGCGUGGCUGGAGUGCAGGAGGGGCAGGCGGAAUUCCUGGUGUAGCGGUGAAAUGCGUAGAUAUCAGGAGGAACACCGGUGGCGAAGGCGGCCUGCUGGACUGCAACUGACGUUGAGGCCCGAAAGCGUGGGGAGCAAACAGGAUUAGAUACCCCCGUACA